rnacentral:rRNA from 1 species
GACGAACGCUGGCGGCGUGCCUAAUACAUGCAAGUAGAACGCUGAAGGAGGAGCUUGCUUCUCUGGAUGAGUUGCGAACGGGUGAGUAACGCGUAGGUAACCUGCCUGGUAGCGGGGGAUAACUAUUGGAAACGAUAGCUAAUACCGCAUAAUAGUAGAUGUCGCAUGACAUUUGCUUAAAAGGUGCAAUUGCAUCACUACCAGAUGGACCUGCGUUGUAUUAGCUAGUUGGUGAGGUAACGGCUCACCAAGGCAACGAUACAUAGCCGACCUGAGAGGGUGAGCGGCCACACUGGGACUGAGACACGGCCCAGACUCCUACGGGAGGCAGCAGUAGGGAAUCUUCGGCAAUGGACGGAAGGCUGACCGAGCAACGCCGCGUGAGUGAAGAAGGUUUUCGGAUCGGAAAGCUCUGUUGUAAGAGAAGAACGAGUGUGAGAGUGGAAAGUUCACACUGUGACGGUACCUUACCAGAAAGGGACGGCUAACUACGUG